GGUAGGUUAGUGUUGUAGAGGCAUAGGUGUGUUAUUAAUACACCUAUGCCUCUAGAACACUAACCUACC
rnacentral:pre_miRNA from 1 species